UUCCAGCUUUUGAUUGUAAUAAAUAAGGCUGCUAUAAUCAUAGUGGUGCAUGUGAAAGAUCCCACGCAGAGAGACCCUUACUCAAGUCUUGGGAAAUCGUGGACCCCAGACACAGAGAGGCCA
rnacentral:pre_miRNA from 14 species